rnacentral:lncRNA from 1 species
CCCAGCUUAUAUGUGCCCCUUUAGUGUCUCUAUUUCGUCAUGACUUUGUUCCUGGUGCCUCAUUUUCCCUCCCAUCCUUAUCCUACUUUCGUGUUUCUCUUGUUUUGUUUCAGGCCAUCCAACAAUGGGAUUCGACUCCAUACUUAGCAUUUAUAUGAGUUUAACGCAGGCCUCGCAAGACUAGAACUUGCUACGUAGCUGAAAGAUCCUGAGAGAGAAGAGUUAAAAAUUAUGUAAGCCCCUAGACUUGUGUCCAAAAUAGACCCCACUAAUGGCAGGGAGUAAAAGUUUAACUCGCCCCAAUGUUUCAGGAUGUACUAACCACAAAGUACAACUUUAACUUGCUCCAUUGUUUUAGGAAAUGUUCGUACAGAAUACUCCAACCGUUCCUUGAACCCGUUAUGCUUGCCAAAUGCUAUAUAGCCCAUGCCAGAUGUUUGCGAUUUCUGCCUUUAUAAACCCCUUACCCUUGAGCUCAGGGUCAACUCCUCUACCCCUGCAUGGGAUACGAGUCGUCCCCAGUGCACUGGCCUUUCCUGAUUAAAC